rnacentral:rRNA from 2 species
AAAAGUACUUUGAAAAGAGAGUGCAAGAGAACGUGAAACCGGUGUAAUGGAAGCAUAUGGAGUUGACGUAUCUGGUGCGUAUUCAGUCGUUGAACGUCGUGAUUGCGAUGUGUGCCAUUCCGCAAGGUUGGCCGCGUUGUAUUGUUGCGGUGUUCGGCGGUGCAUUUGCGUACGGAGUGUGCCGAGUCGCGUGAUGGCGCCAAUCUAAGCCGUUCGAGAGGACAUUGCUUCGGCGGUGAAACCUUGGACUGUGGAGGUUGGUUGUCGGUUGCGUGAGUGUUGUUGGCGCCUACGUGUGCCGUAGUGUCGAUUUGGCCGGUUUGUGUUGUACGCAUGCGUGCGUCACUUAUGGGUUUUGUCGAUGUUGCGGUGUGCAUGGUGCUCUUCUUCGGUAUUCAGUCAAUGACCCAUUUGACCCGUCUUGAAACACGGACCAAGGAGUUUAAGGUAUACGCAAGUCAUUGGGCUUUUCGAAACCCAAAGGCGUAAUGAAAGUGAGAUCUUAUUGGUUUGAAUGUGAUCGGUGUUCGGUUUCGACUGGCGUCGAGCAACAUUGCCCCGUUUCGAGGACUUGUCCUGUUGCGGAGGUUGAGCGUAUGCUUUGAGACCCGAAAGAUGGUGAACUAUGCCUGAACAGGAUGAAGCCAGAGGAAACUCUGGUGGAAGUCCGAAGCGGUUCUGACGUGCAAAUCGAUCGUCUGAUUUUGGUAUAGGGGCGCAAGACUAAUCGAACCAUC